rnacentral:rRNA from 1 species
UACGUAGGGUGCGAGCGUUAAUCGGAAUUACUGGGCGUAAAGUGUGCGCAGGCGGCGUCGCAAGUCGAGUGUGAAAGCCCCGGGCUUAACUUGGGAAUUGCGCUCGAAACUACGAUGCUGGAGUGUGGCAGAGGAAGGUGGAAUUCCACGUGUAGCGGUGAAAUGCGUUGAUAUCAUCAGGAACACCAGUGGCGAAAGCGGCUUACUGGGUCUCUUCUGACGCUGAGGUACGAAAGCUAGGGGAGCGAACGGG